rnacentral:rRNA from 1 species
AACGUAGGAGACAAACGUUAUCCGGAGUUACUGGGCGUAAAGGGCGUGUAGGCGGUCUGUUAAGUCUGGCGUGAAGGCUCUCGGCUAAACCGGGAGAGGUCGUUGGAUACUGGCAGACUAGGGACGGUAGAGGCGUGUGGAAUUCCGGGUGUAGUGGUGAAAUGCGUAGAGAUCCGGAGGAACACCAGUGGCGAAGGCGACACGCUGGGCCGUACCUGACGCUAAAGCGCGACAGCAUGGGGAGCAAACGGG